rnacentral:lncRNA from 1 species
AGAUGAGAAGUUCUGGAUGACAUUAAUCAAGUACAAGAAAGUUAUGGCAAGAGAAUGAGGGACCAAAAGGAUGACAAUCUUAAUGCAAGGGAUAACUAUUCGUACCAAAAUUAACACAGGUUAAUUACUACAGUUGAAAAAGGUCAAUCUUAUGGCUAAUUAACUAAAGGUCCAAACCACCAAAGGCUUAUUUAGUAUCUGCGAAGGCCCAAAAGCUUUUUGGACAUAUG